GUCUCGCGUCCCCGCGUCCCCGCGUCCCGUGCGGGAGGUUGGAAUCCCCGGGCGCGGGAAGGGGCGGCGGCCCUGCGGCCGCUCGCGUGGGUUGCGUCCGCGUGGCUGUCUUCCCGGUCUGUCAAAUCCAGAAGAUGAUGGGAAUCAUGACCUGAGAGUGCAGACAAAUGACUUGAAAGAUGUCAGUAAGCUGAUCCCAGGCAGCAUUGGAAAGACACGGAGAAGGUUUGCCAGUCUAUUUACCACUCCACGAUUUCUUUGUUAGGAAAGUCAAAUGCUGCCCAGCGGUGUGCUCAGUGGUUGAGCAUCAGCCCAUGCACCAGGAGGUCACGGUUUGAUUCCUGAUUGAGGCACACUCCCAGGUUGUGGGCUUGAUUCCCAGUAGGGGGUGUGCAGAAAGCAGCCAAUCAAUGUUUCUCUCUUUCUCCCUUUCUCUCUUGGAAAUUAAUAAAAACAUAUUUUUUUUUAAAAAA